UCAGUCAUGAAGUCCGGGUAGCGACUUCUCUUGGGUGGCCGUGACCCUAGGUUCCGGGGGCCGGACUUCAGUAUAAUUUUGAAAAUGCAUCUCAGACAUUUGAGGACCUUCCAGCAAGAUUUGGUUAUAGACUACCAGCUGAAGGCUUAAAGGGUUUUCUGAUUAACUCGAAACCAGAGAAUGCUUGUGAACCUAUAGUGCCUCCACCACUGAAAGACAAUUCAUCUGGUACUUUUAUCGUAUUGAUUAGAAGACUUGAUUGUAAUUUUGAUAUAAAGGUUUUAAAUGCACAGAGAGCAGGAUACAAAGCAGCCAUAGUUCACAAUGUAGACUCUGAUGACCUGAUUAGCAUGGGAUCCAACGACAGUAAGUACAGUUGAUAUAUUAAAGAAAAUUGACAUUCCAUCUGUCUUUAUUGGUGAAUCAUCAGCUAAUUCCCUAAAAGAUGAAUUCACAUAUGAAAAAGGGGGCCACGUUAUCUUAGUUCCAGAACUGAGCCUUCCUUUGGAGUACUAUCUGAUCCCCUUCCUCAUCAUAGUGGGCAUCUGCCUCAUCUUAAUAGUUAUUUUUAUG
rnacentral:lncRNA from 1 species